rnacentral:lncRNA from 1 species
GAAAUUACAGUGGGAGAAAGGAAUUGACUAAAAGCUUUUGAUUAAGGUAACUAAUCUUGAUAUCUUUCAUUUAUUUAUUUGAUUAUUUAAGAAAAAGAUAUAUGCAUGAGAUAUAUUCUAUGACAAGCAUUUAUUUCUCUCAUACACAUGUUUGAGUUUAAUUCAGAAAACCAAACUCGAAUAUAUUACUAUACCAUCUCAAUUGUUUAUACCACUGGGUAAUUGGGGUAUCUUCAAAUGCAUUAAAUUAGGGUUUCUAUCAUAAAUUAGGGUUCUUUAGAAAUUUGGGCAUUUUGAUUAUGUUGAUGAUUAUAUGAAAUUGAAUGGGAGAUUUUGUUAGUGUGUUUGAGGGAUGUAUUCGGAGGGUGGAAUUGAUGGGAAGGAGGGUCGGAGAGCCGCCGUGACGAGCUCGUCGACGGAGACCGACGUGGGGAGGCAAAGCGAAGAGGAAAAAAAGAAGGGGAAUAACGAGGGUGUUGGGUAGUGAACGAAGGAGAGGGUGGUGUAGUGCCACCACGGCCUGACGCCGGCAGCGGCGGCGAUGGUGAUGUAUGGCAGGGGAGAGAGGAGAUAAAAGAUGUGAGGGAGAUGAAGAAGGGGCAGUUUUGUAAUUUGCUUGUAAAUGGGUACUGAUAAUUAGUCUGCUGGGUAAAAUAUUGUUGCUGGAUUGUAAAAUAAAUUGUAUAUUUGGAUUCUUUGCGGAAAAAUAGAUGGAAUAGGCUUUUGAAUCGUUAAAAACGGAUUAGAAACGAAGGAGAUAUUAGCGGUCAAAGUUUCACCAUUAGAGUUGACUUCGAGGAGAGAGAAAGUGUUGGUGAGGUUGAGGAAGAUGAUGAUGAUGUGUCAUCUUCUAAUUGGCUAAAAUAUUUAAGGUUAGUAUUUAAUUAAUUUGAGGGAUUAAAUGAUGGAAUUAGUAGAAGUGUAAAAUAUGAAGAUUUAAGUAAAUAGUUUUUCGGAUUUAAUGGUGAAAUCAAAUUUUGGGUUCGAGAAAUAUUAAAUACAAUUCUAUAUUGGGUGAUUUAAUAAAUAAUUACUGAAUUUGUGGAUAUGGUUAAUAAGGAAGUGAGACUUUGGGAAAUCGAUAUAAUAACAAGAAUGGAACAAAUUAGAGAUAUUUGUGUGGAUUCUUGUCGCGAAUAAAUAAAUUAUAAGUAGAGAUUUAUAAUACAAUAUUUAAAGAUUUGAUUAACGAAUGAUUUAAGUGGAUUACUUAGAUUAAUAAUAGGGAUAUCAUUAUUUAAUUGAAGUCCAUUAUUUGGGGAUUUAAGGGAUAAUCGAUAGACUAGAGGAAUAAGAUAAAAACAAUCUAUAUAUUAUCAAAGGGAGGAGCUAUAAAUUAUGAAUUUAUAGUAGAUUAAUCGAGAUUAUUACUUAAAGUGGAGAAUUACUAAAUUUGUUAUUUCAUGUGGUAUAGAAUAUUUCUUAUCUGGAAGGCGAGCUCAAUUAUCCAAAUUGAGAUAGGAAUAUUUUUAUUUACCAAAGGAUGCCAGGCAAGUUCACUUAAUUCCUUCUCUUGAUGUGCCAAAGUUGUGUUAUUGAUUUAUCAAAUGUGAUUAUGUCUGAUAAUUGAUUCUAUGCUUGAAACUCGAUACUUUAAUAUAUUUGAAUAUUUCGAGAAGAUCUGGGAGAGACGGACACUAGAAGAUUUGACAUUUAUUCAUAUUAUUAUUAAAACAAACUUUCUUUGUUACCCAAGUCCACUCAUUGCUCUGGGUUGACUCAGUAUUGUGGAAAACCAGAAAUACCAUUAAUUUUCAAAUGUUUAACCUAUCAUAUUUUUUUUUUGAAAUGAUUAUUCUAUUCAGAAAUCUUUGCAUCGUUACAGAAUUCAUAUUCAAUAUUUGAUUACAACCUUGCUCGCAAUUGAGAAGUCUAGUUCAUAUCUUUGAGUUAUUGUUUCAAUACGAGCAUAAUUCAAUUGAAUUGUUCCAACCCUGAUUAUUCGCUAAUAUUGCUAUUUUGGUUGUCGAGAUCCCUAUCUUUUGAUUCGCUCCUUCUUAUGAACUUUGAUGAACCUGAUGUUCCCUUCAAAUAACUGAUUAUUCCUUCCAUAUACCUUAAAGUGGAUAAAUUGCUUGAUUAUUGAUUUCCUCUUAUGUUUCCUUAUUCUCUUUCAAUCUGUUAAACUUCUAUUCUUUAAUUCGAACAAUGAUUAAUCGAUUUUAUACAAGGAUCGUUAACCAUGUUCGGUUCUAUGUUAUUGUUCUUGGAAUGUUGUGAUCGGAUUACUUGUCUUCAUAAUCCGAGAGGUAUUAAAUUCUGAAUUGUGAGGAUGCAUUUGUUCGCAUUCUUGUGAGAAAAGGGAAGAUUUAUUCAAUAUGAAGUGUGCCAAUUUGUACUCAGGGGAUGAAUUUCAUAAACUGGUCAACACGAAUGAUUUGCAUUCGUGGAAGUGGUGGAAAAUGUAAAUUCUCUAUGUGGGGUAAAUUUGAGGGUUGAAAAUGAUAACCCUUAUGCUAGCAAAGUGUGGAAUUUGUGGGUGGCGCCAUUCGACAGUCGCGAUCAGGCUGCGAGGGCGACACAGGGUGGUACUCGCUCAAUGGCAGUGAUCGAGCCUUGUGUGGGACCACUGGGAUGGAGACCAGUAAUUGAUAUUUUAUUCUUUCUUGAACUCUGUAUGUGUGUUUGAUUGCAGCACUUCCUUUGAAUCUGCUUAAUUGACCUGUGUAAAUCCUUUUGUGAUUUAUCUUGUGAUGAUUUGUGUCAUAGUGGACUUGCUGAGCAUUCAAUUGCUCAUACUUGCAAUUCUUGAUUUCCUUUAAACAACAAAGGUAGAAUAAUGCACGAUUGAGAAGAACAAUCCAAAAGCGCACAAUAGCACGAACAAGGACAAGGCGUGAGGCUGUGGCAAGACGAAGGGUGGGAAGACUUGUUCCCGUGACGAGGAUAAGUGUAAUAUCGACUUUGGACUUGUGGGGCAAGGUAUGCAUCGUAAAACAGGUAUGCUGAAGGGGUGUGACGGCCUAGAUCCGAGGAAUGCGGAUCUGGGGGCGUUACAUAUUUGGUAUCAGAGCUGUGUUAUAUUCUUAGGAGACGGGAACCCUAGGAAUAUAACGAGAGAGUGAGAAACAAUAAUACAAGAGAUAAGAUAUAUGUAUAUGAUAGUUAUACAUCUACGAGAACAGGCAACGUUAUACAUGAAACCCGAAAAUCUAUAGUGGGACAUGAAACCUCAUAGUUAUAAAUACAUAUAUGUAUAUACAUGUAUCUUUAAGAUGAGAAACUUACAAUGACAUUGUUUAAUUAUUUGUGAAGAUGAUAAUAGCUAGAGGACGCUCUUAUACACCCUAUCUUUAGGAAUAAUAUGGGUUGUGGUGCAUCAAAGUAAAUUAUGAUUGCUCAUAGCAAUUCAGAGAAUAUGAUUAUUCUAGUCAUUGAGCCUUCACCACCUGAGGUUAUAGGUUUGGUAACCUACUAGUUACCCAGUAAUUAUUACCAUGUCAGAGGGAUAGGCAUCAAAUUUACCUUAUAAAUUUUUUCCGAGACUAACGUCUCACUAUCAUUGAAUAUCCAAAUAUCCACCCUCGUCUUCUAUCCUUUCAUUACUUACAUCAGAGGUUAGAUAUGAUCAGUGAUUGUCGAAGAUACUUGGAUGCUUUCAGCUGACUUUUCUAAAGGCUACUUCAUUCACUUUUGAUUCCACUACGAUGCUAACUCCUUAUCGGUAUCAAUUCAAGUUCCAUACCUAUAACAACACCACAUAUUGGCGAGAUUUUUCUCCCAUAUUUUGCAAUUUUCCAGUUCAAUAUAUAUAUUCAAAUACCAAGCCAUGAGCUCGAAUGUUACAACUAGAGAUUUCUACCCCAAAGACUUUUGUUCCCAUCUCAUGUUAUAUUAAGAUUCCGAUCUUUCUAUUAUAAGGUUCCUUCUUUUCUACUUUGAAACUCUUUUAUCAAUUUCUGUUCCAAUUUCCGCAUCAAUCUCAACACCAAAUUUUUAUUCCAACACCAAUCAGUUCUUGUUCUUAUGCUCCAUAUGUUGGGAGCGAGACAGUGCCACUCUCUAAACACUUUACAUUAUAUGAUGGUAUCAGAUGUUAUCGAAGUAUUACUUUGAGUUUUCAGUUUUUCAUGACGUAUCUUUGGGGAUACGAGAAUUAUAUAUUUGUUCAGGAAGUCUGGGUUCCUGGCUCGGGUAAUUAUGAUAAAAGAAUCUAUCGAAUAGUUAUUUAUGUAUUCGAGAGAUUUUGGAUAUAUAUUCAACAGACUUUGUCAACCGGCUUCGGACACAUUGGAGCCAUUGUUGUGAAUUGAAAAUUCUAAGAAUUUUGGUAUAAAGUUACAGAGAUAUUCAAACAUCGAUGGUUCAGAUUUCUUUGGUAUAAUUUGAUUUUUGUAAGAUAACAUUUAUAAUUUACGAGUAUUUGGAGUUCUAUUUCUGUUCGUAUAUAGUUCAUGACUAUUGACAUUGUACGCUAACGGGCAUGAGAGUCUUGCAUUUCCUUAUUAUUACAAUGCAGAUUCGUACAUAAGAUCUUUCGAGCAAAUAGGGAUGU